CCUGCCACCGCCCCUCCUGCAGCUCCCAGCCCUGAGCCUGUGUGUGGACGUUUCUGGACAAACGAGGACACGGAGCCUCUGAAGCCCAUACGCCCGUCCCGAGGUCACACGGCCAGUAGGGGACAGCGCUGGUCCCACGGCCCCUGCUCUCCGGGUUCCGGGUCUCAGGGACACUGGGCGAUGCCAGCAGCGUCCCAGAACUGUGGCUAGGACAGAGGGUUGAGUGGCCCCUGCAGACCCUGUUCCUGGGAAGGGUUAGGGAAGGACAUGGGGGGGCGGCUGCAGAACAGUUGUGUGGUCACCCGGGACUCGGGUGACGCCGCGCCUGGCCAGUGGCGGGGAGCACGCCCUCUUUUCUUGGGGUCCAGAGGUCUGGAGGGCUGUCCGUGGUGGGGGUGGGGGGCUGCUGGUCAGGAGGGGCCCUGGCCUCCCCUCCCUCCCCCUGCCAACAGGCCUUGUUCAGCGGCCGUGUGAAGGGGGUGGACAGGCCUGCCGCCAAGUCCCUGGUCACAUGCCUGCCAGUGUGCAGUGACCUUGCAUCAUUUUGGAGACCAGCCGCGGGGCCUGCAGCUCAGCACGAGGGUCUCAUCGGGCUCCAGUGACCCCGCCCUCGAGGGAGCUGGAAAGGGAGGCGCCGCAGGUACUGCCCAGCCCCCACCUGCUGAGGAGGGCAGCCCUGUGCCAUGGGAGUCCUGGCCCCACAUCACCACCUGCCAGGCAAGACAGGGACCCCCACCCUCAGGUGGGGGUGAGGGAGCCGGUGGGGGGGGGUAGGUCUAGGGGGUGCUGCCCCCAGCCCAGGGUCCUGUCCAUGGCCUCGUUGCCCACGCCCAGCAGACAGGCCAGGACAGGGCCCUGCCUUGGGGACCAGCCCCCCAGGGCCAGCAGGGCAGGAAGCGACUAUUGUUUACAGGAUGCUCUGGCGCCCUGGGGGCCCCACUUGGUGGGCUCUGGGCCCUGCUGGGGGGCGGCCCUUGGCUGUCACUGCCUGGGAAGGCCUCACCCCAGGGCCCCGCUGGGCCUCCCGUGGGCCCCCAGUUGCAUCUUAGUCUUCUGUCUCUGAGGACGGCUGCCAAGCUUCGCCCACAGCCUCAGACAGCCGCGAAAGGCGUUUCACUGCCAGAUGGUUUGCUUUUUCCACGGAACAGGGGCCAGCAUGAGGUAGCUGGGGAAAGAUUAACCCCUCAGACCCGUGGCGCCGUUACCCUGCCUUGGCCCGUCUUCCAGGGUCCUUGUGCCCACUUUGCCUGGCCCACUCCCCUACUCUGGCAAAGAAAUACCUUCUCUUCAUUGUGGGGGGCGGAGGGGACCUCCCCAGGAACCAGAUGUACCUCAGCCACAGACCCUGGGAACUUUGUGAAACCAGACGUCACAGGCGUGGGGGUCCGAGCAGCCUCUGAUGGGGCGUGGGAAGCCCCCCAGACCAGCCCACUCCCACUCUGUCACAACAUCCUGCGGGACCUGGGGGAUGACCUCAGGCCUCGGGUCUCAUUGGUAGUUAGCUGGGCAGAGGUAUCAGCCCACCACCCAGGACCCCGGGCUCGGCACCUGCUGACCUCGUCCAGACGACACCCUCCGCCCCCCAGUUUUUCAGUGUUUCUUUCAGAGACGGUUCACAGCCACGGCCUCUAAGUGAUUCCCACCAGAGAGUCGAGUUCUCGGCUCUUGGGCAGCAGGACAGAGCAAAUCAGGCCAAGGCGCGUGGCCCGGGAGCCAGGCCAGGUGCACGACACGUCUCCCAGAGCGGCUUGGACGGCGCUCCUGCCAUCCUGGGAAGCAGACGACGUCCCAGCCCCCCGCGCCCUCACGCCCAUCCGACCACCGGCUGCUUCCGGUCCAGCUGACUCAUCCUGCGGUCAGCAGACAGGCUGGGAGACAGGCCGCACUGGGUGCCCCGGUGCCCGGAUGCCCGGGGCCAGGCCUCUGGACCCCACAGUCAAGCCGGCCAGGAGAGGGGCCCUCGCGGAGACGAGGGCAGAAGGGCGGGGUGGCCAAGCUGGGGCAGUGACAGGAGCCAGGACGGUCUCUGCCCUCGGAGCCUGACCGGUCUGGCAUCCCUGCCAGCUACGACGUCCGCACCGCUUCAUCACCAUGGCAACCACAUGUGUAACCAUGGAAAACAUUUUCCUUGAUGAAUCACGCUCUAAGUUGGGAAGGAACUCACUCCAUAGUUGAGACAUUAAAAAGGAAUCAAAAACGGUUUUGUUCAACA